UACGUAGGGGGCGAGCGUUAUCCGGAUUUAUUGGGCGUAAAGCGCACGCAGGCGGUUGGCCAAGUUCAUACUGACAAGCAUCGGCUUCACCGAUGAGGGGGUAUGAAAACUGGCCGACUUGAGAGCGAGAGAGGGAGAUGGAAUUCCAGGUGGAGCAGUGAAAUGCGUAGAGAUCUGGAGGAACACCAAUGGCGAAGGCAGUCUCCUGGUUCGUAUCUGACGCUCAGGGGCGAAGGCCAGGGGAG
rnacentral:rRNA from 1 species